CAACCCUCCCGCGCAGGCCAUAAGAGGCAAAUGAACCUUUGUUGGUUGGCGGGAAAUCGAGACCCUGGCAAGGGGGCUUCUCCCUUGGAGAAGCCUGAGAACUGCCAGGUCCGCGGCCGUUAACCCGCCUCUAGGGACGGCCGCACUGCGCAUGUCUGAAAGGGAACUAGAAAGGGAGGAGCGAGAGAGGGUGGGGCUGAGGAGGAGGCUGUGUGAGAAAAGGGGCGGGGCGCGCCCAAAGUCUGGCGGAAGAGCGUUACCCUGGCAACCCUCCCGCGGAGGCCGAGAGAGGCCACCGGCCCUUUGUUGAUCUGCGAGAAAUCAAACUACGAACACGACAAGCAUUAGCCUGCAGCUCGAGGAGACAAGGAAUAAAUCCAACUUGAUCAUAACAUCCAACUGUGUUGCCCAGGCUAGUCUCAAACUCCUGGAUUCAAGAGCCCCUCUCCUCUCAGCCUACGAAAGUGCUGGGAUUAAAGUUUCCCCCAAGGUCACAGAAUUAUCCAGGCCAACCAAUAACACCUCCUGUGGGAACCAGGAGCAUCUCACCCUCUUGAUACUACAAAGCCUUCCCCGACACCUCCUGUUUGUUCUCUCUGCUCCCAGUCCUGAACUGACAGCCACAAGUGGCACCUGAACAGGGACUUGAACAAAGAAGGUCUGCUGGAGCAGAAAAAGUGAAACUGACCAGAUGAAUGAGAAACCCUGGGAUGAGUCUGCCUGCAGAGGAUAUAAGGAGAUGGAUAAACCGUGUGAGUGCCCUCAAGUUGUGUGCGACCAUGGAAUGGGAGACUGGAGGGAUACAUGGAUCCCAACUACAGGCCCAGCUCCUCCAGUAUGAGCCAUGAGCCAGUUGAAUCUGAAUGUGAAGAUGGAAUGAAGACCGACGAGAGUCACACUGACGUCAACCCUCAUAACAUGGGGUCAGAUCAAGAAAACCACACCAGAAGCUGAGAAACUGGUGUAGUGCCAGGGUCAGGCAAAAACCCCUGACUCCAUGUUUAUGGCCAUGCUAGCUGUAAUAUCCUGUGCAGUAUGAUUUUUCUGUGCAGAAGCAAAAACAUAUUGGGCAUAUUUUCCUAACCCACCGGUAGUGUGAUCAUACUCUGAAGCAGCACUCCUCCUGAGAUAUAUCAUGAUCAAGGAGCAUCAGUACCAGGACCUCUAACUCCCCCUGACACAGAGCAAUUAGACUCUCAUAACAAUGGUAUCAAUUAUACCACUCCAUUGGAGGGACUUCCUUUAUGUGUCACCCAGGAUACAUUGCUCAACUGCAGUUGCCUUGCAGUUUGAUCCCAAGCAUGGUUGAGUUACCAUUAAAAAAUUAUGUACCUAUUAGACCUUAGCUUUAUUAAUAUUACUUGUGUAGUUACUAAUCACUCCUGGCCCCAUCACCCAAAUUGUACUGAUUAUACAGAAUGGGCUCCCUUUGAUAAUUCUCACCCCCCUCCUUGGGCCCACUGUCUUGGCCCCUUAGCUAGACAAUAGUCCAUGUUAAUGGGAGACAUUAUUGACUGGGGUCCCUGUGGUCAUUAAGAUGGGAGAGAUGAGAAUCAGACCACAUGGCAUAAACUUCACUGGCACUGGUGGCGAAACUUUAACAUCUCUUCACUUCAACACACUGGGAUUCAAUCCCAAUCUGCCAUGCAACUUGCUUGGCAUGGAACGGGCUUUAGCCCACCUUUGCCUCAAUGGCAUUAUCAAGGAAAGAGAGGUCCAAUUCAGGAGUCUAUGUGGAAGGCAGCACUCCCAUAUAUGAAUGGCAGCAUUUGGGUUGGGACACUAUCCAAUAAUAGUAAUAGUGCUCAAUACAGUUUAAUGUUACCUUUGUAAAAAAUGUUUGAAAUUUGUGUUUUUAAUCCCUAUGUUUUUCUAGCAGCAAAAAAGGACCAACUCCAGGUAAACAAUGCCCAAUUGAAUUGUGAUUCCUGUCAACUCUAUCAUUGCCUUAAUCAUAGCACAAUACAAACACACAGCAUAUCCACCCUAAUAAUUCUAGGUCGCAUUCCUGGAUUAUGGAUUCCUGUAAAUCUAUCUGAGCCUUGGGCAGCCACCCCCACUUUACAUUUUGUAAAACUUCUUACUCAGCUUACUCAUGGCACUCGUAGAGCCUUAGGCAUGAUAAUUUUUACUAUAGUCUCCUUAAUUACAUUAAUACCCUCUGUUGUGGUGUCCUCAGUAGCACUGGACAGCUCCACUCAAACAGCUCAAUAUGCAGAAAAUUGGAUGCAUACAGCUGACCAGGCAUGGAUGUUUCAAAAUAAAACUAACACUGAGAUACAAACAGAAGUGGCAAUGUUAAAGACUACUGUUCUGUGGCUAG
rnacentral:lncRNA from 1 species